UUUGCUUGUCACCUUCAUCAGGUUUUAUUAGCGUCUUGCCCCUCUAACUGGUAAUUAACAUCUCGAUUUAGGGUCUUC